CAGUCGCCGCGGUAAUACAUAGGGUGCGAGCGUUAAUCGGAUUUACUGGGCGUAAAGCGUGCGUAGGCGGCUUCUUAAGUCGGAUGUGAAAUCCCUGAGCUUAACUUAGGAAUUGCAUUCGAUACUGGGAAGCUAGAGUAUGGGAGAGGAUGGUAGAAUUCCAGGUGUAGCGGUGAAAUGCGUAGAGAUCUGGAGGAAUACCGAUGGCGAAGGCAGCCAUCUGGCCUAAUACUGACGCUGAGGUACGAAAGCAUGGGGAGCAAACAGGAUUAGAUACCCCCGUAGUCCCUGUCUCUUAUAC
rnacentral:rRNA from 1 species